AUACUUACCUGGAUGGGGUCAAUGGGUGAUCAUGAAGGCCCAUGGCCUAGGCAAGUGACCUCCAUUGCACUUUGGAGGGGUGCUAGCCUAAGGUCUACCCAAGUGGUCGAGCCUACAUCAUAAUUUGUUGCUGUGGGGGCCUGCGUUCGCGCGGCUCCUCC
rnacentral:snRNA from 1 species